UUAAGGUCUAGCCUGCCCAGUGAUUAUUUAAAUGGCCGCAGUAAUUUGACUGUGCAAAGGUAGCGUAAUCAUUAGUUUUUUAAUUGAAAGCUUGUAUGAAAGGUUGGACGAGGUGAAUACUGUCUUUAUGUAAUUUAAAAUAGAAUUUAACUUUUAAGUGAAAAGGCUUAAAUAGUUUUAAAAGACGAGAAGACCCUAUAGAUCUUUAUAUUUUUAUUAAAUAAUUUAAUAAGGAUUUAUUUUGAUUUAUUUAAUAUAAAAUAUUUUAUUGGGGUAAUAUAAAAAUUAGUAAAAUUUUUUGAAUUUAAUAACAUUAAUUUAUGAAUUUAUGAUCCAAUAAUAUUGAUUAGAAGUUUAAGUUACCUUAGGGAUAACAGCGUAAUUUUUUUAGAGAGUUCAUAUCGAUAAAAAAGUUUGCGACCUCGAUGUUGGAUUAAAAGUAAUGUUAGGUGCAGAAGCUUAAUAUAUUGGUCUGUUCGACCAUUAAAUUUUUACAUGAUCUGAGUUCAGACCGGCGUGAGCCAGGUCGGUUUCUAUCUUUAAUAGUUUAAUAUAUUUUAGUACGAGAGGACCAAAUAUAUGAUAUAUUUAUAUUUAUUAGUUUGAAUAUUAUUAAUUACUUUGGCAGAAUAGUGCAUUGAAUUUAGAUUUCAAGAAUGUAAUUAUAUUACAGGUAAUAUUGUUUAUUGGGGAUAGAAUUUUUAUAUUAGUUAGAAUGUUAUUAUUAAUUAUUUGUGUUUUAAUUGGAGUAGCUUUUUUAACAUUGUUGGAACGUAAAGUAUU
rnacentral:rRNA from 1 species